rnacentral:misc_RNA from 1 species
UUUCCGUAGGUGAACCUGCGGAGGGAUCAUUAUUGAGUACGUUUGUUUCUGAUGCUUGCUCUUCACUGAGCAUGUGCUAGAUCGGUAACUAUUUAUCUUCUCUUGUGCACCUUUUAUGGUCUUUCAGAGCGAGUGAUAACUCUCGCAGCAAUGCGGUUUGGGGGACUUAGGCGUGAACCCUUCCCCAACGUUUGCUUCUUUGGAGGGCGAUGUUUUCAUAGACACUAUAAAGUUACAGAAUGUCUUUUAAAGUUUGUGCUAGUCGAAGUCAUUAAACAUAUACAACUUUCAGCAACGGAUCUCUUGGCUCUC